GGGUGUAUGACGAAAAUUAAUUAAAAAUGGAUUCUUAGGGCCCGUUUGGUGCGCAGGAUAGUGAGACAGGAUAUGAUAAUAUUAUCAUAUCCUACUUCAAUCCAUUGUUUGGUGCACCAAUAGGAAAGGAUAAAUUAAAGCUAUUUCUAAUCCUAUCCUAUUGCUCCUUUAUUAUUUUAAUCCUUAAUUUUUGGUGGGUUACCAACCUGAUAGCAUAAAACUAUCAGGCGUGUAUUUCUGUUCUCACGGAACCCUUCUUCGAUUCCCAACAAAUCCUUUGUUUCAAUAAUUUUCCUAAUUUUUUUCUUUGAAUAAUUUCCCUAAAUUUUAUACUCUGUUCCUAUUUCAAUCGCCGCUAGUUAUAUAUUGGGUUUAUUUCAUUCUCCUUCUUUCAAUAAUUUUCCUAAUUCUUAAUCUCUGUUUUAUUUCAAUCGUUACAAAGAAUUGCUACUACCAUAAUCAUUUUCUUUACGCAUCUAUUUGUUCCUUCUACAAUUGCUAUGGUGUUGUUUAUAUUCCUAAUCGCUACAGUACAACUCGUUCGUCUUUUUAUUUCUUUGAUAUUUAAAUCCCCAUUAAAAUUGCUACUAUGGUGGUGAUUUGAAAGAGAAUACAAUACACAUCAUAACAUUUUCUUUUUUGCCUGGUUGUGCUAUGAUUGAAAUUUGAAAAUUUUGUGCUUUUCACUUUUUCUAAUACUGGAUUGUUUGUUUUGUUAAAAAAAAAUACUGGAUUGUUUGUUGGUGCUUUGUUGUUCAUAUACUCCCUCUAGUUCUUACAUAAGAAAAC
rnacentral:lncRNA from 1 species